AUGUAGACUAGAAAUAUUUUUGUUUGAUAUAUAGUUUAGGCUGAUAUUGUCUUAAAUUAAAUAUUGUUUCUUAAAUUUAGUUCAUCUCUUUAGGGUGCGUUUGAUCUACUAAAAAAUAAAAAAUUGUACACAGACUAUUUCUGUCGUGUUGUGUUUGAUUUUAAAACUGUCCUGAGACUGGACAAACUAUGGGCCAACGGACUAGACAAAAAUUAAACCACAAGACAACUUUUUAUCCUCUGUAUAAGUUUUCUAAAAUACUAAAAUUACAUUUUUGUCCACCAAACAUCAUAUAAGACAACACUUGUUUAAUACCUUAAACAUUCGUGAUGUCAAGUGAUGUUCUGUCCGGUACAUCCAUUUUACAAAUCAAAUGGAGUUGGUUUAUGUCGGACAGAAAUAAAUUUAAACUUUAAUAUAUUCUAGACUAAAUCACUCUUUUGGUACCUUAAAUAAUUUGUUGAUUUGUUUUAGUCCCAUAACUAGGUUUAGUUACAUUUAGGUCCCUUAGCUAACAAUACACAUUAUGUAUAAUCUGUAGUAACAAUA
rnacentral:lncRNA from 1 species